rnacentral:sRNA from 1 species
GGCGAGGUCUCAGGGAAGGUGGGGCUAUGGCAGCUGCUGGGGUCCCUCCGGUAGUAUCGCUGCGAGAAGCCACCCAGCGAAAAUUGCGGAGGUUUUCCGAGCUGAGAGGCAAACUUGUAGCACCUGGAGAAUUCUGGGACAUAGUUGCAAUAACAGCGGCUGAUGAAAAACAGGAACUUGCUUACAACCAACAGCUGUCAGAAAAGCUGAAAAGAAAGGAGUUACCCCUUGGAGUUCAAUAUCACGUUUUUGUAGAUCCUGCUGGAGCCAAAAUUGGAAAUGGAGGAUCAACACUUUGUGCCCUUCAAUGUUUGGAAAAGCUAUAUGGAGAUAAAUGGAAUUCUUUUACCAUCUUAUUAAUUCACUCUGAUGAAUGGAAGAAAAAAGUCAGUGAAUCAUAUGUUAUCACAAUAGAAAGAUUAGAAGAUGACCUGAAGAUCAAGGAAAAAGAACCGACAGAACUAAGGAAUAUAUUUGGUUUUAGGGUACAUGUGCACAACGUGCAGCUCUGAUGAAGCCUUCAGUAAAGUCAAUUUAAAUUACCACACUGAAAAUGGGCUGUCUCU